GGGGAUAACACUUGGAAACAGGUGCUAAUACCGCAUAACCAUAGUUACCGCAUGGUAACUAUGUAAAAGGUGGCUAUGCUACCGCUUUUGGAUGGGCCCGCGGCGCAUUAGCUAGUUGGUGGGGUAAAGGCUUACCAAGGCAAUGAUGCGUAGCCGAACUGAGAGGUUGAUCGGCCACAUUGGGACUGAGACACGGCCCAAACUCCUACGGGAGGCAGCAGUAGGGAAUCUUCCACAAUGGGCGAAAGCCUGAUGGAGCAACGCCGCGUGGGUGAAGAAGGUCUUCGGAUCGUAAAACCCUGUUGUUAGAGAAGAAAGUGCGUGAGAGUAACUGUUCACGUUUCGACGGUAUCUAACCAGAAAGCCACGGCUAACUACGUGCCAGCAGCCGCGGUAAUACGUAGGUGGCAAGCGUUAUCCGGAUUUAUUGGGCGUAAAGGGAACGCAGGCGGUCUUUUAAGUCUGAUGUGAAAGCCUUCGGCUUAACCGGAGUAGUGCAUUGGAAACUGGGAGACUUGAGUGCAGAAGAGGAGAGUGGAACUCCAUGUGUAGCGGUGAAAUGCGUAGAUAUAUGGAAGAACACCAGUGGCGAAAGCGGCUCUCUGGUCUGUAACUGACGCUGAGGUUCGAAAGCGUGGGUAGCAAACAGGAUUAGAUACCCUGGUAGUCCACGCCGUAAACGAUGAA
rnacentral:rRNA from 1 species